rnacentral:rRNA from 1 species
AUUGAACGCUGGCGGCAGGCCUAACACAUGCAAGUCGAACGAGUGGCGGACGGGUGAGUAAUGUCGGGGAAACUGCCUGAUGGAGGGGGAUAACUACUGGAAACGGUAGCUAAUACCGCAUACAAUCAGAUGUGCCCAGAUGGGAUUAGCGUGUUGGUGGGGUAACGGCUCACAAAGGCGACGAUACCUAGCUGGUCUGAGAGGAUGACCAGCUACACUGUAACUGAGACACGGUCCAGACUCCUACGGUAGGCAUCAGGGGUGAAUAUUGCACAAUGGGCGCAAGCCUGAUGCAGCCAUGCCGCGGGUAUGAAGAAGGCCUUCGGGUUGUAAAGUACUUUCAGCGGGGAGGCGUUACCCGCAGAAGAAGCACCGGCUAACUCCGUGCCAGCAGCCGCGGUAAUAC